rfam:TPA: Bos taurus chromosome 26, whole genome shotgun sequence.
UCCCUGGUGGCUCAGAUGGUAAAGCGUCUGCCUACAAUACAGGAGACCGGGUUCAAUCCCUGGGUCGGGGAG